UCAGACGUGACCACCCGCUGAACUUAAGCAUAUCAUUUAGCGGAGGA
rnacentral:rRNA from 1 species